CACAAACCUAAUAGGCUGUAUAAUAACAACUGCAGAGUCGUUUACUAGAAACUACUUCUGAUAAAGUCAAGACCAACACUAGGAACGUAACAUAUUAAAAUGAAGCUUAUUUGGUGAGUUCUUUUUGCUGAGUUGCUUAUGUGGGCCAUUUCCUUUCUUGCAGGAUGGGUUUCUUUCUUAAAAAGAUAAGAAAAAGAAAAAUUCAUCCAGAGGAGGAGAAGGGGCAGCGGGAUGACCAGCAGCCUAGUGUUGCCCAGCCCCCUGCUGGCCAAAUCCUGCCAGUGCUGGUGAGGCCAGAGAUGCAAACAGUGGCCCGAAAUAACAAAGUAGAGCCGGUAAUAUUGCCAGGGUUGGUACAGCAGCAGGCAAGACGCGAGGCUGUAUAACAAUUGCAGAGUCAUUUACUAUAAACUACUUUUGAUAAGGUCAAAACCAACACUAGGGACAUAACAUAUUAAAAUGUAGCUUAUUUGGUGAGUUCUUUUUGCUGAGUUGCUCUUCUGAUGUCCUUUCCUGCAGGAUGGCUUUUUUUCUGAAGAAGAAAAAACAAAAUCUACCCAUCAUAUGAGGAUGAGGGCCCUGCAGGCAGUAUGCUGCCAGCAUUGGUGAGGCCAGAGAUCUGCACAGUGGCCCGAAAAAAUAUGGUAGAGCCUGUAGUCUUCCCAGAGUUUGGAAAAAAGAACAAAAUUUAUCCAGUGGAGCAGGAUGAAGAGGAGGCCCCUGCUGGCAAUAUCCUGCCAGUGCUAGUGAGGCCAGAGAUGCGAAGAGUGGCCCAAAAUAACAAAGUAGAACCCGUAGUCCUGCCAGGGUUGGUGCAGCAGCAGGCCAGACUCAAGGCUGUAUAAUAACAAUUGCAGAGUCAUUUACUAGAAACUACUUCUGAUAAGGUCAAAACCAACACUAUGUAUUAAAUGUAUCUUAUUUGGUGAGUUCUUUUUGCUGAGUUGCUCUUCUGGUGUCCUUUCUUGCAGGAUGGCUUUUUUUCUGAAGAAAAAAAACAAAAUCUACCCAUCAUACGAGGAUGAGGCCCCUGCAGGCAGUAUGCUGCCAGUAUUGGUGAGGCCAGAGAUGCGAACAGUGGCCCAAAAUAAGAAGGUAGAGCUGGUAGUCUUCCCAGAGUUUGGAAAAAAGAACAAAAUUUAUCCAGUGGAGCAGGAUGAAGAGGAGGCCCCUGAUGGCAAUAUCCUGCCAGUGCUGGUGAGGCCAGAGAUGCGAACAAGUGGCCCAAAAUAACAAAGUAGAACCCGUAGUCCUGCCAGGGUUGGUGCAGCAGCAGGCCAGACUCAAGGCUGUAUAAUAACAAUUGCAGAGUCGUUUACUAGAAACUACUUCUGAUAAGGUCAAAACCAACACUAUGUAUUAAAUGUAUCUUAUUUGGUGAGUUCUUUUUGCUGAGUUGCUCUUCUGGUGUCCUUUCUUGCAGGAUGGCUUUUUUUCUGAAGAAAAAAAACAAAA